AUGUUAAAUCUGCUUUGAAUUCCUGAUAACUUACAUUUUAGCAAGUUAUCCUGUGCGUCUACAAAGCUGGCAAGUGGUCAUCUUUUACUGGCAGACUAGUAAACAAUUUGAAAGGCCCCUAAUAAUAUUCUGGAAACAAGACCCUGCCCUUUUUAUUCCCACUGCCUAAGAAUAGCUAUCUACACUACUGGCUGCCUCUCAUGCCAGUCUAACAGGGAGUAGAUACAACUCCCCUUGAGGUUAGAACUAUAGUGAGUGGGAAUUUGUUAUCUAUAUGCAAGAAGGCCCC